AGGCCAGUUGGCACAUGGCCAUCGACGGCACUGCCAGGAAUUCCCUUCAAGCAAUUCAUGAAACAAUAUUUUGAGAGUUGUUGUGAAGCGUUUGGGGGAAAUCUUAGUGUCGCCAGCAUGUAAGUAAACAGUGCUCAAACUAUACAAGGAUAAAUGUUUGUUAUCACCAUGAAUUCUCUUUAAGCACUUCAUACAACACAAUUAUUUCAAGGGUUGUUGUGAAGUAUUUGGAGGAACUCUCUGUGUCAUCAUACAUUUGUAACCGGUGUUUGAACCAUAUGAUUGAGAUGAGAGACACGUUUGGUAUUGUUGUGAGUUCCCUUCAAGAACUUCACGUCAUGUGGCACUAAUUCAAUGCUUACUGUGUUUGAGGGAACUCUCGGUAUCACCAAACAAUUAAUAUAUGGUGUUUAAACCACAAGAUC
rnacentral:precursor_RNA from 1 species